UACGUAGGGUGCAAGCGUUGUCCGGAAUUAUUGGGCGUAAAGAGCUUGUAGGCGGUUUGUCGCGUCUGCGGUGAAAUUUCGGGGCUCAACCCCGAACUUGCAGUGGGUACGGGCAGACUAGAGUGUGGUAGGGGAGACUGGAAUUCCUGGUGUAGCGGUGAAAUGCGCAGAUAUCAGGAGGAACACCGAUGGCGAAGGCAGGUCUCUGGGCCACUACUGACGCUGAGAAGCGAAAGCAUGGGGAGCGAACAGG
rnacentral:rRNA from 1 species